GAAUAUUGGACAAUGGGGGGAACCCUGAUCCAGCCAUGCCGCGUGUGUGAAGAAGGCCUUUUGGUUGUAAAGCACUUUAAGCGAGGCGGAGGCUACUCUAGUUACUACCCAGCGAUAGUGGACGUUAACCGCAGACUAAGCACCGGCUAACCCUGUGCCAGCAGCCGCGGUAAUACAGAGGGUGCAAGCGUUAAUCGGAUUUACUGUGCGUAAAGCGCGCGUAGGUGGCUAAUUAAGUCAAAUGUGAAAUCCCCGAGCUUAACUUGGGAAUUGCAUUCGAUACUGGUUGGCUAGAGUAUGGGAGAGGAUGGUAGAAUUCCAGGUGUAGCGGUGAAAUGCGUAGAGAUCUGGAGGAAUACCGAUGGCGAAGGCAGCCAUCUGGCCUAAUACUGACACUGAGGUGCGAAAGCAUGGGGAGCAAACA
rnacentral:rRNA from 1 species